UAUCAAUUUAUUGUGUUUUAUCUCUUUUUCACUCUCAAUAUGUCCUAAGUAUUGACAUUAUGUCAUACCAUAUUUGCUUUCAGACAAAUGCCAUCCAAGUUCCUGUAACAUAUGUUGGGAAAAAAACAUGUUUUUGUGUUUAACCAGUAGCAAAAUGCAAACAGAUACUUCACAAACAUUCAACUAUGACCAGAUGUUAUAAAUGUAGUGGACCCCUGCGGCACCUAGACAUCAUGUCUCAUACAAGUGUGUCUGGUUUUAAAGAAAGUGAUGUGAGGUGUGGGGUGGGGGUGAAUACAUAGCCAGAAGAAAUGUGUCUUAGUGUUUCUGUAUUCCUAAUAGGAUCAUCUGCUGCAGGUGUGACAAUGUGGACUUUGUUCAAGCUAGUGUAAGUUUAAUUUAUACAUUGACCUCACACCCAGAAAUUUAAUAUUUAGAAAAUGGACACCUGAUAAACAAUUAAAUAGAAUUAAUAUGUAACAGCACAGUGUUGUAAUGUGUUUGAAUAUUAAAUAUUGGUGCGCUUGAAUAUGAAAUAACUAUUUUUGACCAGUUAAUGAUGGAGAUAGACACAGAAGCGCCAUGACACCUUGUGAAGUUACAUGGCAAGUGUUGACCGAUUGAUUACUUCAUGAUAAGUUAUUAUAUUUAAAGUUUAAAUAAUGUGUUUGCAUUUUGAAUAUGAAUAUUUUAAUUUUGGUAAUAGGGUUAUAGCAAUAGAAAUUGAACUUUGAUUGCCUAAUUAUGCAGACGGUUAUCCUAAGUCAAAGUAACUGUGACUUUUUCAUUCUAUUUAAUUAUUACAAUGUACAAAGAAGUGACUUUAAUCAGGUCUG